rnacentral:rRNA from 1 species
AUUCCAGCUCCAAUAGCGUAUAUUAAAGUUGUUGCAGUUAAAACGCUCGUAGUCGAACUUUAGACAAGGACGACCGGUCUACCGUAUGGUACGACUGGAUGUUCCGCGUCUCUCCUUUGGGGAACAGGUACGCGAGUGCCCGGGAACCAAGUAUUACUGUGAAGAAAUUAGAGUGUUUAAAGCAGGCGUUUGCUUGAAUACGUUAGCAUGGAAUAAUAAGAUAGGACUUUGGUCUUAUUUUGUUGGUUUGAGGACCAAGGUAAUGAUUAAUAGGGACAGUUGGGGGCAUUAGUAUUCAGUAGUCAGAGGUGAAAUUCUUGGAUUUACUGAAGACUAACUAAUGCGAAAGCAUUUGCCAAGGAUGUUUUCAUUA